AAUAAAAUGGCUGAUUUAUAGGCGGUAAAUUGUAAAUUUAUUUAUGAAAUUGAUGUUUCUUUUAUUA
rnacentral:tRNA from 1 species